rnacentral:lncRNA from 1 species
AUUUAUUGUGUUUACUUAUUUUCUUCAUUUUAUAAACAUUGUUUCGUUUAUGGGUAGGAACCAAGUUACAUUCCGUGUUGCACACAGUCACAUUUAAGUGACGCAAAAAAAGGGUUAAGAAGCUAGAAGAUGCCGUAAAUUAAAGAAGGCAUAAAUAAGUUGUUUAAAGGUGAAAGUAAGCUGUAAAGAAGAGAAAGAAGAAGUUGGAAGUGUUUCGUGUUAAGUUUUGUUUCUAAAGCAAAUUUAUUCCCUCACGGUUACGCGCAGCCAGCGAGAAGAAGCUGGGAUCUUCUCCAGAUGUGGUGGGCCACACACAGAGUGCCAACGUUUAUUACAGACUCACCCCAAGCCUGUGGAGUCUCUGAGAAUGAAAAUCAGAGGAGUCAUGACAGAAUGCAGCAGCCUAUCCAAGAACAUAGUGAGGAGUGGGCAGCCAUAAAAGGUACCUGGAUAGCAGCGUGUGAGGAAGGUUCCAUGCUCAAGGGGGUUCGCAGAAACCGGAAAAAAGGAGACGUUGAGAAUAAAGGCACAACACAAAACAGCACCUCAUUGUAG